CCACCACCUCCGUACCUUGUUGGGGUAACCUGGUGAUCAUUCAUUGGCCCUUCUCAUUCUGGACCCUGUGGGGCACUGAGGGCUGCAUCAUCACAGUCCCGGCUUUGUGGAAACGUAGUGUAGUGAGGGAUACAGGUUUGCACACAAGGGGCAGAGAUGCCUGGAGGCACAGAUAGGCGGACGCUCUUGGCCAGGGGUGUGGACCGUGGAGACACAGAGCA
rnacentral:lncRNA from 1 species